AUUGAACGCUGGCGGCAGGCCUAACACAUGCAAGUCGAGCGGUAACACAGGGAGCUUGCUCCUGGGUGACGAGCGGCGGACGGGUGAGUAAUGUCUGGGAAACUGCCUGAUGGAGGGGGAGAACUACUGGAAACGGUAGCUAAUACCGCAUAACGUAGCAAGACCAAAGAGGGGGACCUUCGGGCCUCUUGCCAUCAGAUGUGCCCAGAUGGGAUUAGCUAGUAGGUGGGGUAACGGCUCACCUAGGCGACGAUCCCUAGCUGGUCUGAGAGGAUGACCAGCCACACUGGAACUGAGACACGGUCCAGACUCCUACGGGAGGCAGCAGUGGGGAAUAUUGCACAAUGGGCGCAAGCCUGAUGCAGCCAUGCCGCGUGUAUGAAGAAGGCCUUCGGGUUGUAAAGUACUUUCAGCGGGGAGGAAGGCGAUAAGGUUAAUAACCUUGUCGAUUGACGUUACCCGCAGAAGAAGCACCGGCUAACUCCGUGCCAGCCGCCGCCGUAA
rnacentral:rRNA from 1 species